UGACAACUUGCGUGGAUAGUCAAGGUUAUUCCAAUUUUUCAUAUCCUCUCUUACCGCAAUGACGACUGUUUUAUGGUUCCGAUAACUAGCCGACUUAUUCAAAUUACCGCAGUCACACGCGGAGGGAUGACCAAUAAUUUUCUCAAAGCAAAGAGAUCGUAGAUAUCAAGAAGCCGUAACUCCAACUAACGUUCCAAAUUCCUAUAGUUACGUUUUAUUUUUAGUCUCAUUAGUGACGAACGCGGUAUUCAAUUCUGAGAAGAGAACGGAGGAUAGAUAAGAUCUGUCGUUAUAUUUGCUAAGCUGCGGAACAUGUUCAAGUAUCGAACGCUGACUAUUCUAGACAGCAUUGCGAAGCUCAUAAAUUAUUCUACGAUACACGCCUCAUGUUUAAGUGUCACUCAUUCUUAGUUCGACAAAUAAAGGAUUCGCAAUGACUUCGUAACAACGCGAUCAGUGAACCCAAAUUUUACACGACUAUCAUAAACUCCCAAAUGAAGAAGUACAGGAGACAGUGUGAUUAAAAUGAGACGGAAACAAAGGUACGAGGUAAUUAAUUUUAAGAUAAUCAUGUGAGAUGAAGCUCGGACCGUACAUACUCCGCAAUAAUAUGCAAAUUGGAAGUUUUUACCGGUUACUUGACUGGUUCACACUGGGUAGACCAAGAUCUCUGAGGGCUAUGCAAUAUUCACGUUUACAUCCUGCGCUCAAAGUCCACCAGUGGAUGUUGACAGUCAGUGGAUACAACCCAAAGUUCAAGCCCAAACUGACAGCAAACGCUUAUUGGAAGAAAACCGCUAAAGCUCAUUUGACGACGUGAAUUCCGGUCCUGCGGAAAUCGACGACCACGGCGAUGAUCCAUUUUGCGAUCAAGAUUCCAGAGAUUGACUGAUCGGAACGACAGCUGAAAUCGUCAGUGCAAAUGCAACCAGUGGAAAACUAACUUAGAACAGAUCCAAGUCAGCACCGGUCGGAAUGAACGAGUAAACAAAAAUGGAGUACGCAAAGACGGAAACAAGAUGGAUCAAGUUCGGAGACAUAGAGGAGCUUGUGUUGAUUGGUAAAGACGUGAUCGGUUCAGCGUGGGGAGCUUACGUCAGUUUCUACAACCUGAACACGGGUGAAAACUACGUUGAGAAAUUUGAAAAUGCUGGAAAAAGUGACGGGGUUUCAUGUCUGGCAGGGCAUCCGGUGGUCUCAAUGUUCGCGAUAGCAGAGAGACAUCCGAAUCCCAGAGUUUUGAUCUUCGCAUACCCGAAUCUAGACAAAGUUUCCACCUGCAGCGACGGCGCUCCGAACGGGUAUCUGUCGAGUGCAUUUUCAGGCACGGAAUACCUCGUCACUCUCUCGUCCUUUCCUCAGUUCGAUAUCAUCCUCUGGCAGUGGAGAACUGGCGAAAAGAUGGCCGUGAGGAGCACGAGUGUCUCAGACCCAAAGCAGCUCAUCAAAUGCUCGUCGAUGGCGCCCUACACUAUAGUCCAACUUGGCUCAACGUCGGGGCGAUUGGUGGUCCACGAGAUCAGCGUCUGUUCAAGAAUAGCGUCGCUUCUACCAACGGAGAUCAAACAGGUCGACGAGAGGAUUGUCUCUGUCAGCUGGACAUUGGACGGAAAUUUGCUGGUCAGCGACACGUUGGGAAGCGUUUGGCUGAUGACGAGCGAUGGAAGGAGACGCAAUAUGAUCAUCCGAAGCGAUGUGACGCCGGCGCACGUUGCCGGUCGGAAAACACCGAUGGUUGUGGCAGUUCAAGGAGGGAUUCUCGUGGUCAACGCGAACUCCCGAAUACGGUUUUACAGAAGAUCAUCAUCAGAACACCGGCAAAGCGACGUGGUUUGGGAGUCGCGAUGGGAACUCAGGGCUCCUUCACAUCCCACCAAGGCGACAGUGCACUGGCAAAGGAAUAGCGUUAUCUUCUAUGGCGAGCGCGGUGACUUUUGGGAAAUACCACUCGAUGAUUAUAGCAAAGCUCCGGUCCUCGACCUGAAGUACAGCCAUGGAUCCGGCUACCUGGUUAUCGCCUGGGCUUACCCUGGAGCCCAGAUGAUCACGUCGUUUGACAAAUUCGGACAGUUGAAUGCCUUCGAGCCAGCGACUGGUAUUUGCACGGGAAAACUUUCUCUGAAAGACGAGGGUCAAGUUCUAUGCGUCGUGUCCCACCCUGACAUACCGAUUAUCGCGAUGACCACCGAUGCUGGAAAGUGCUUGCUGAUCAGCUUGUACAGGGUGACCGACCCUGUCCUGCUCACGUCGUUUCACCUGAACGAACAGCCCCUGGACAACGUUAAAUUCUCGUACUGUGGCAGACUGCUGGGAGUCGCGAGUUCGAGAAACGGGGAUUUUUUUCUCAUCAAAGGAGAGCCGGGGUCUCAGAUGUACGUGCAAAGCUAUCUGGAGACGCGAAAACAGGCGGUAGAUUUUCUGCUCUACGAAGACGCGGACGGAGGCGCCAGGCUUCUGGUACUUGUGGUAACGAGUACCGCUGCGACAGUCGGUGAUAUGAUCAUCGUAUACACCCGUAAACCUGGAGAGAAUCUUUUUGCGGAAGAAAAAUACGCGGUUGAGCUACUGAACGCAUUUAAAUCGCUAAAUUACGGUCCGAGACAUUCCAGCGACGUCAUCGGGGCUCCUUAUCUAUCCAGGCAACUACACAGGCUGGAGAUCCAGAGCGACUUCAAAGGUAUUCGUCUCAUCCAGGCUCUGCCUUCCGGCCAUCAACUACGAAAUCCUUGGGUUUACACAGACCGUCAUCACGUGGUGACGGCCGGUUAUGACGGCCUGGUUAUCGUCAGAGAUGGAGUUAACCUCGAGAAGGUAAUCGCGAUGUUCGCACCGCAUCAUCGACAAGAAGGCGGAACGAGAAUGGCCAUAGCUUCACCCUGCGGCUCAAUGAUCCUAUCUCUCGGCCGAAACGGAACUUUGGUGGUUACCGAACUAAGCUAUCGUGAACCAAAUGCCAGAGUGCUGAAUAAAGCAAAUGUCAAGCUGGAUUCCUCGGAGAUCCAACGCAUGUUCUCCAAGCCGACGUGGGGAUUCGUACCGGAGGAUAUCGAGGACGAAGGUAAAAGCUGGGUCGCAUGCCAGGAGGCGAUCAAGGACCGGACGGAAAAACGACUGUCGAUUGCGGGCAGGAACGCCAUCAUGAAUGACUUCGAGAAAUUGAAAGCCCAGGUAAAGGCUCUGCUGGACGCGAACGAGAAAGCAGAUCCUAAGGAACAGUUGCCCGUACUGGAGUUCGAUCUGGACAAGAAAGGCAGAGAGCUUAAGAUUCAGAAUGCUGCUAAGGAUCGCGAAGAACUGAAGGUUUGGACGGAGAAACAGAUACUUGAGGAAGAGAGGGUGGUUUCUUUCGUACUGAAAACAUGCUGGAAGCCUAUGAUGGUACAAGCUCGGUCUAUUCGUGCCAUAUUUGGCGAUACGUGCGUCGACAAUUACCCACUGGCGUUAAAGAACGGGGACCAAGAGAAAGAACACAAGUGGGCCCACUACGCGAAGACACUCUCCCUCGAGAUAUCUAACCUUGACCCUCCAUCCGGAUCUGCACCAAGAGAAAAAACUGUCUCAGUGUUUGAGCUGAGCAAUGAAGUCGGUGAUGAUGCAGAAAACGAGGUACACCGCGUUCGGAGAACGGAAGCCGUCGCGAUGACGGGGACCACCACACAUCGAUGGGUAGCACGCGAUCCCAUCCAUUUCAAUCAGCUCCAGACGUACAACUACAUCCAGGGAGCGAUGGAGUGCGUUUUUAUACGAGAAGAGAUUGACAAGCUGAAAAUUCAUUUCAACAAACUAUUCGACAAAAUGAUGUCCACAAAGGAGCAAGAGAUGACUGAAAUCGCUCAAAGGAUAUCAAAACUGAGACACAUCGCCAACGAACUUUUAACUAUGUUCAGACUGAACUGUAAAGCUGAAAUUAUGCCGGACCCCGUCUGGGACCAAACGGAGAAACCGGAGACCAUAAUUGUUGUCACUGACGAAGAGAUCUCAGUCAGACCGUACAUGACACCAGAAGAAAAGAAAAUCCAGGAGACGGAGCGUUUGCAGGAAGAAGAACGCCAGCUGGAACUGAUGGCGAAUGACUUCCGUGAAAAGACUCUUAUGGAGACUAUGGACGGACUUUUGGAAGUCAAGUGGGAAGAUGACGUCAAGAAGGACGUGCCGAAACCUUUGUGCUUGAUCGAGAAGGAUCCUGCCCAUUAUACCGAGGAGGAGGUCAAAGAGAUAAUGGCCUACGAGGACAAGGUUCAGAAGCUCAAUAUCGAACGUGACCGGUAUAGAGAAUUACUUGAAGACGAGUUUCAUCAGACUACGAGCAGCAUUGAAGAGAGCAUUAAAGUGUUCAACGAAAAGCUGGACGCCUUCUCGGUCGAGAAGGUAAAGCUGGAAUCCGCGAUUCUUCAGGAAACCUUGCGACUACUUCGUUCCAAAUGGAGAGACCUCGAGAAGACGCGUCGAAUGGAGAAGAUACUGGAUCUAAAAGACAACGAACUUAUACCAGCGACGAGAUACAGUCAGGAAUUAAUGGACGAGUUGGCAACGCUGGAGGUGGCAGUAGCGGACCUGAGGAACCGAUACGAGGCACUAUGUAAGCGAGAAAAGACUAUGGACGAUAAGUUUCGGGGUGAAUUCGUCGACCUGAAGCCCCCGAUUGUCGAGCACUUGGCAAGACACUACAAAAAACGUCCGAAAGCGGGAAAGACCUGCACGUGUACGUCGAUUACCUUCCUCACAGAAAUUGGCAGAUGUGUCAUCACCGGAGACUCGCCCGAGGUCUUGCCUCCCGAAAGCAUCGAGUUUUUGAAGGGUCUGCAUCGCCUUGACAUCAUGCCAAGCAACCUGCCACCCCAAAUUGACGGGAACCAUUGGAGUUACCUUUGCAAGUUGAGAAGGACCAAAAUCGAAACAGAGAUACGGGUGAAAUGCUGCGCAGUGGAACUUGCCGAGGCUGAGCAAACCGUCGCUUUGUAUCAGAGAAUGAUCGUUACCAAUCAAAAUCGCAUUGUUCAGCUGAAGGAGGCCUUGAGGGAACAUCGUGUAUCUAGGCAAAGGUUUGUCGAAGACAUGGAGGUUCAGCUGGUGUUAAAGAUGGGACAGGUCGAAGUCCCCGUUCUCCUUGGCAAAGUCAGCGACUUCGCCGAGGCGGUUUUAGUACCUGCGGAAGAGGUGAACGCCGUAAACGUCGCCAUAAUCAAAGAAGGACGGCUGAAACUUUCCGCUAUGAAAAGAACGAUGAGUUUUCGCAGAAUAAUUGUUUGCAAGGAGUGGCGACACGCUUACAUGUGUAAAUCAUUGGAGGAUCUCAAGGCAGAGGUCAAAGUCCUCGAGGACGUGAAGGUAACUAAGGAGAUACAAGAGUACACGCGAAAGUUCGCUACUAACGCCUUGAAGGAUAAGGACGUGAAAAUAACAUUCGAGAGAGACAUCGAAUCGUUGAAUCAAUGGUAUAGGAGGAUGGUCGAGGCUGAAAGGAACAAUCUAGAGAAGAUAAGGACGACGAUAAAGUAUCGGAGAAGAGAAAACGUGCGGCUGGACGCGAUGAUAGAAAGGAUAAGCCUGGCAAACGCUCGUGAUUCUGCGCAUGUUAAGAAAGAAGCGAUGGACAAAGAGAAUAAAUUCACAAAGGAUAGAAUGGAGGCUAUCAUGAAGAGGACUAGAUUGGUUAAGGACGUGCAAGAUAGCUACAACGAGCUCCUCGUCUUGCAAUCCGAAUUAGAACUCCUUAGGCUCAAGACCUAUCCUACGUUGAGAUUCAAGUCUGAAGGUCGGAAAGAACUCGCGACAAGUACGACUAGAGCUGCUCGUAUGAAUAGAUAAAUGGAUAAAUGAAUCGCCUUGGCCUUUGAUAACCCCGCGUCGUGGAUAUAAGUUCAACAAUCUUUGUCGAUAUUCAAGUCUUUUUUCACGUAUGAAUCGUUUCGUCGCCUCCAUCACGAAAAAAUCACUGUAUAAUGUAAAUAUUAUUUCUAAGAGCGAAAAACGAGAGUGCUAAAAUCAUUGAACAAGGAAAUUAAUUAACACGGUCUGUAUUUGUGCAUAUUUUGAUACAUCGCGAAACUCAGCACCGGCCAACUUACAUCCCGAAAACUGCAGUAAUCUCAAAACGCACGUUUCGUGUCAACAAGCUAAUUCGAUAUGCACGCAUGUCUUCAGCCAAUCGAUACUUCUUUUUAAAUUAACGCCAAACAUUGAAAUAGCUUUCCGUUAUUUCGUCAUAGAUCUGCUCAAACCUCAAGGUUGAUAUUUCACCAAAGACAGCGGAUCGCAGCUGACUGCAAUACUCGGCUUUUGCUUCCUGACCUUUCCCGAUGUCUAAAAACAGUAAUACCAAAGCUCAGUUUCCUCGUUAAAUCGUGUCCUUUCCAAUCGAAACGAAAGUGAUUUCUUCUCUCCAGAUAGCGGUUAAUUGUAAAUUCUCAAUUAACGACCAUCGGGUGAAAAUGUAGUCGGUCAUCGUCAUUGAGCGGUAGUGUCAAAGCAUGUAAAAUACAUCGUUAAAGAUAAGGGAAAAAAAAUGACAAGUCGUGUGCAAAUUUACUCCUACUACUUUAAAUCAGAUGGGCCCGCAAGUAUCUUCGAGAAAUUCCGUCCCGUCCGCACAGGCUGUCUCGUUCCAUCUCUCUUUUUCCGGUUAAUUAAAAUAUCUGCCUGGCAACCGAGUCUGAUGGAAUAAUCUCGCUGUUUAAAACAGGUUCGCGCAGUUGGGAAUAAGCUCCGAAUGCAUUAACAAGCACUGCGUACGAGUAUGUGUCACGGGUGUGGAGCAGUAUUUUUUAUUUCUUUCUUUCUUUAUUCUUUUGCUGCAAAUAACACAUCAGAGCUGGGGAACUCCCGCGUUAAGUCGGAAGUUAUCACCAAACCGAAAGAACGAGGUGAUAAGAGCUGGAUGUAAGAUAAGGUCACAAAUUAGUACAUGGAUAAAAUUCAAUAGAUACCAAAUUUACAAAUCAGCUAUAUAAUCGAGUAACCGAUUGACCUGAAGACCAGAAACUUUGCAAAUUAUACCCAAAGUGCGCAUUCGUGUGUACAAAAGCGCGUCAGGAAUGAUGGACGAAUCGAAAUUUUGGUCCCGAAUCAUUUGGCGAGGAUUAAUGAAAAUGCCUGUGUGUAUUGGUUCAAUUGGUAAAGCGUCCAGAGGAUUGCCUCUUCCUGCCUCGUGUAUUCAAAUAAUAUUAUACCCACGUAUGCGUCUGUUAUACCGCAGGAGCGUUAGGAACGUCGAUUUAUUAUCCAAUACACAUUGCGCUAUGUGAGUAUACUAUGCAUGUACAUACAUAGGCAUGAGCGAAGUUGAUUAUUCGAGUUCGACUGUUGUGUAACAAUCGUAUUGAAAUAAGAAAAUAAAAAAGAAAAAAAAAAACACUCGUGUCAUGGCACUGGAAGCGUA
rnacentral:misc_RNA from 1 species